rfam:Aspergillus nomius NRRL 13137 contig00404, whole genome shotgun sequence.
GGGGCGGUAGCUCAGUGGUAGAGUGGAAGAUUGCAAUGACCUGAUUGGUUAACCAAAUAUUGCAACCUAUCUUUAGGUCGCCGGUUCGAACCCGGCCCGUCCCU